GCCGGGUGACGUGGCGGGCACCUGUAGUCCCAGCUACUCGGGAGGCUGAGGCAGGAGAAUGGCGUGAACCCGGGAGGCAGAGCUUGCAGUGAGCCAAGAUCGCGCCACUGCACUCCUGCCUGGGCUACAGAGCCAGACUCUGUCUCAA
rnacentral:SRP_RNA from 1 species